rnacentral:lncRNA from 1 species
GGGGAUGAGCUUAUCUCUAGAAACUCUUAUCAAUGUGGAAGGCAAGGACUUAAAUCUGCAUAAUAACCUCACUCUUGUUUACUGUGCUUUUCUGGCAAUCUCCCAUAACUGGCUCCUCCCACCCCCAACAUCCUCCUUUGUCUUUAGCUGAGGAUGGUAUUUAAGUCUGGCCAGAAGGACUUAGAGUGGGUAGAGGAAAUGUCUUCCUCUCCUACAGUUUAGCAACUUAAACGGGAUAAAAUUUCACUGCCUGGACACUGCUCACUCCUGGACUGCUGCAGCCAAGAGAUCCUGGACCCCUGACAAGAACCAGCAAAAGGACCUGAGAGCCAUUCUUUUGAAAUGCAAAUGUUUCUCAGAAACUGGUGGUUCCUGAAGCUCUGACCACUCCUUUUGACUCACCCGAGCAAAGUUUUAGCCAUUAAAAUAUUGAAGAAAAAGAGAGUUUGCAGAGGAAAAACUAUUCUGAGGGGGAAAUUGACAAGAAGUACAGAGUUAUUUUAAAAAUAAAAGCCAACACAG